rnacentral:rRNA from 1 species
GAAAGGGAAACAGCCCAGACCACCAGCUAAGGUCCCAAAAUAUAUGUUAAGUGGAAAAGGAUGUGGCGUUGCCCAGACAACUAGGAUGUUGGCUUAGAAGCAGCCAUCAUUUAAAGAGUGCGUAAUAGCUCACUAGUCGAGUGACACUGCGCCGAAAAUGUACCGGGGCUAAACAUAUUACCGAAGCUGUGGAUUGUCCUUUGGACAAUGGUAGGAGAGCGUUCUAAGGGCGUUGAAGCAUGAUCGUAAGGACAUGUGGAGCGCUUAGAAGUGAGAAUGCCGGUGUGAGUAGCGAAAGACGGGUGAGAAUCCCGUCCACCGAUUGACUAAGGUUUCCAGAGGAAGGCUCGUCCGCUCUGGGUUAGUCGGGUCCUAAGCUGAGGCCGACAGGCGUAGGCGAUGGAUAACAGGUUGAUAUUCCUGUACCACCUAUAAUCGUUUUAAUCGAUGGGGGGACGCAGUAGGAUAGGCGAAGCGUGCGAUUGGAUUGCACGUCUAAGCAGUAAGGCUGAGUAUUAGGCAAAUCCGGUACUCGUUAAGGCUGAGCUGUGAUGGGGAGAAGACAUUGUGUCUUCGAGUCGUUGAUUUCACACUGCCGAGAAAAGCCUCUAGAUAGAAAAUAGGUGCCCGUACCGCAAACCGACACAGGUAGUCAAGAUGAGAAUUCUAAGGUGAGCGAGCGAACUCUCGUUAAGGAACUCGGCAAAAUGACCCCGUAACUUCGGGAGAAGGGGUGCUCUUUAGGGUUAACGCCCAGAAGAGCCGCAGUGAAUAGGCCCAAGCGACUGUUUAUCAAAAACACAGGUCUCUGCUAAACCGUAAGGUGAUGUAUAGGGGCUGACGCCUGCCCGGUGCUGGAAGGUUAAGAGGAGUGGUUAGCUUCUGCGAAGCUACGAAUCGAAGCCCCAGUAAACGGCGGCCGUAACUAUAACGGUCCUAAGGUAGCGAAAUUCCUUGUCGGGUAAGUUCCGACCCGCACGAAAGGCGUAACGAUUUGGGCACUGUCUCAACGAGAGACUCGGUGAAAUCAUAGUACCUGUGAAGAUGCAGGUUACCCGCGACAGGACGGAAAGACCCCGUGGAGCUUUACUGUAGCCUGAUAUUGAAAUUCGGCACAGCUUGUACAGGAUAGGUAGGAGCCUUUGAAACGUGAGCGCUAGCUUACGUGGAGGCGCUGGUGGGAUACUACCCUAGCUGUGUUGGCUUUCUAACCCGCACCACUUAUCGUGGUGGGAGACAGUGUCAGGCGGGCAGUUUGACUGGGGCGGUCGCCUCCUAAAAGGUAACGGAGGCGCUCAAAGGUUCCCUCAGAAUGGUUGGAAAUCAUUCAUAGAGUGUAAAGGCAUAAGGGAGCUUGACUGCGAGACCUACAAGUCGAGCAGGGUCGAAAGACGGACUUAGUGAUCCGGUGGUUCCGCAUGGAAGGGCCAUCGCUCAACGGAUAAAAGCUACCCCGGGGAUAACAGGCUUAUCUCCCCCAAGAGUUCACAUCGACGGGGAGGUUUGGCACCUCGAUGUCGGCUCAUCGCAUCCUGGGGCUGUAGUCGGUCCCAAGGGUUGGGCUGUUCGCCCAUUAAAGCGGUACGCGAGCUGGGUUCAGAACGUCGUGAGACAGUUCGGUCCCUAUCCGUCGUGGGCGUAGGAAAUUUGAGAGGAGCUGUCCUUAGUACGAGAGGACCGGGAUGGACAUACCUCUGGUGUACCAGUUGUCGUGCCAACGGCAUAGCUGGGUAGCUAUGUGUGGACGGGAUAAGUGCUGAAAGCAUCUAAGCAUGAAGCCCCCCUCAAGAUGAGAUUUCCCAACUUCGGUUAUAAGAUCCCUCAAAGAUGAUGAGGUUAAUAGGUUCGAGGUGGAAGCAUGGUGACAUGUGGAGCUGACGAAUACUAAUCGAUCGAAGACUUAAUCAA